AAAUUUAAGACCUAAAUAAAUUUUGGAAUGUUACAGAAGGGCAACCGACUUGGAUAGGUUAGAGAUCAACCAUUGCUUCCUUCUCUUUUCUUCCUUCCUUUGUGAUAUUGUAAUCACCACCACAUUAUCCUUUGUAGGUGUGAAGCUUGUGGCAACCAAGUUUAAGAAAAUGUUUGCGGGUUGAGCCUCCUUGGUUGGUGUUCGUUUUCUUGUUUAACUAGCUUGAUUUUCAAGAUUUCUAUGGGAUUCCACUUAUAAAUGGUAUCAGAACUUGUAUUAUUGAGAAAUCUAUGAAUUUUUAGGGUAAAAACUAGCUAGAAGAGUGAAAAAUCGAAGCUGGAAGCUAGACGAAAAUUUGGGAUUUUCUACAAACUGUUCGAGCCUGUUUUCUUCAUUUUUGGCCAGACUGUUUACUGGUGGAUGAACAAAGGCCAAAUUCUUGAUCAAUAUGAAAAGGUGGACUGGUAGUCGGCGCAUGAAGACCAUGUACAAAUAUGGUCAUGGUGUAUAGUGACACAUCUAGCAAAUUCAAACAGUGGUCUAAAAAAUAAAAAUGUUGCUAGUGGCAUGGCUAAGCCUGUGAUAGUGUUUGUUUUCUGUUUCAAGCAAUACGACAAAUAUAUGGACAAUUUUGCCCUUAAGUAUUUGGGUGCUGAUUGUUGUUUUAUGGUUGCUACAGUUGCUGGAAGCUUUAGGGUGAAUAGUGAUGGCCUUAAAGCAGUGAAUCUACAUAUCUCCUUAUUUAGAGAUCGAUAAAUUGGUUCAGCAAAUAUCGUGUUCUUUCUUUAUUAUUAUUGUAGUUAAG
rnacentral:lncRNA from 1 species